UGGGGAAUAUUGGACAAUGGGCGAAAGCCUGAUCCAGCCAUGCCGCGUGUGUGAAGAAGGUCUUCGGAUUGUAAAGCACUUUAAGUUGGGAGGAAGGGCAGUAAGCGAAUACCUUGCUGUUUUGACGUUACCGACAGAAUAAGCACCGGCUAACUCUGUGCCAGCAGCCGCGGUAAUACAGAGGGUGCAAGCGUUAAUCGGAAUUACUGGGCGUAAAGCGCGCGUAGGUGGUUCGUUAAGUUGAAUGUGAAAGCCCCGGGCUCAACCUGGGAACUGCAUCCAAAACUGGCGAGCUAGAGUAGGGCAGAGGGUGGUGGAAUUUCCUGUGUAGCGGUGAAAUGCAUAGAUAUAGGAAGGAACUCCAGUGGCGAAGGCGACCACCUGGGCUCAUACUGACACUGAGGUGCGAAAGCGUGGGGAGCAAACAGG
rnacentral:rRNA from 1 species